rnacentral:misc_RNA from 1 species
UUAAGUUCAGCGGGUAUCCCUACCUGAUCCGAGGUCAACCCAGAGUUCAUCUUAGAUGGAGGUCCAUGGAGGCCAGGUCCGAACCUUGCGCAGGACUGGUUUUUGUCUUCAAAACAGCUACUAAGUCCCUUGCACAGGCUAAUUGUCCUGCCUAUGCAUUUCGACAGAGUGAUCCGGGCACAGUUGUAGUCCCAGUUCAC